UCCGUUAUGAUGUAGUGGCUAACAUUAUCGCCUCUCGUGAAAUUUCCCUGCCAUGAGCGCGAUAGCCCAGGGUUUCGAUUCCGUGUAACGGAG